CAAUAAUUUUCUGAGCCUUCGUGGCUGUGAUAAUCUUCAAGUUUCGAAUAACUCAACAAUGAUGUUCAGAGUGGUUGCAAGAGCGCAAGAAGUAGCUAUCUUCAACAUUUCAAGGACAUUGGUCCGUUUUGAUUACAAUGUCCACACUUUCCACAAGUUUACCGGCAAAAAAUUUCGGCAUUCUGCAGAGCCUAGUUGCACUUAAUUAAGCUUCCAACUUAACUUUCAAGCGAAGAGUUUGUUAUGACCUGGUCCUCGAGAUGUACUUCAACUGCCGUUUUGUCCAGUUCUCUCAACAAUUGCUCUUCCAAGUACUCGGCGGAAUUCUUUUGGAUCUUCUCUACUUCAUAAGCAGAAGGCAUUUCAGGCCCACAAUUUGUCCCAAGGUACGCGUUCCAAGCUAGAAUACUUUCUUGAGUUUUUGAUGCGCCAUUCCAGUUACAAGCACCCUGCGUAACAUCAACACGAUAUGGCGUACAAUGGUCAAGCGUAAGUUGAAGGUUUGUCGAGUGGUAAAAGAUGCAUAAGAUGGAUUAGGCAGCCAGUGUUCUGAAAAGAGAAUAGGUAGUUAAAACAUCUACGAAUGUCAAAAGCACGAAUAAACACAGCCGUAAGUAUGUUUGUACCUGAGUUUCGCUGAAUAUAGAGCUGUCGAACUCGGAAGGAGAAAGGUUGAUCCCUGCUAGUGCCUUUGGAACCGAAGCAUUCAAACAACUCUUUAACGUUACAUGCAUUGAUGCAACACGAGUUUUCGCGUCUUCCACGCUUUGAUCCAGUGCAUCGAUGACCAUUGAAGUCUCCUCAUCUAGAAUUUUUAGCAUUUGCUUCUGCAUAGGAUUGGUACAGGAUUGUGUUCGUGAAACAGGCUGCUUGAGAAGGAAUCCGAGUUUCAAAGAUCAUGUGAUACUAAAACUUUGCUGGCCAUUUUGACAACUACGAUUAACUGGAUCGUUGAUUGACGAUUGCGGAAGAUCAAAGGUUACAAAAUAACUUCCAGCCUUGUACAGGGUUCAAACUUCACAUGAUCAGAUUUUGAGAUUUUAAGGGAGUUAUUUUAUCGGCCUUACCCUGAGAUCAAUGACGACUGCAGCGCAAACUGCAAGCAUUGCUUUGUGAUCCUUGACCACAGCCCCAU
rnacentral:lncRNA from 1 species